CCUACGGGUGGCUGCAGUGGGGAAUAUUGGACAAUGGGCGAAAGCCUGAUCCAGCCAUGCCGCGUGUGUGAAGAAGGCCUUCGGGUUGUAAAGCACUUUCAGUGGGGAAGAAAGCCUUGGGGCUAAUACCCUCGAGGAAGGACAUCACCCACAGAAGAAGCACCGGCUAACUCCGUGCCAGCAGCCGCGGUAAUACGGAGGGUGCGAGCGUUAAUCGGAAUUACUGGGCGUAAAGCGCGCGUAGGCGGUCUGAUAAGCCGGUUGUGAAAGCCCCGGGCUCAACCUGGGAACGGCAUCCGGAACGGUCAGGCUAGAGUGCAGGAGAGGAAGGUAGAAUUCCCGGUGUAGCGGUGAAAUGCGUAGAGAUCGGGAGGAAUACCAGUGGCGAAGGCGGCCUACUGGACUGACACUGACGCUGAGGUGCGAAAGCGUGGGUAGCAAACAGGAUUAGAUACCCUAGUAGUC
rnacentral:rRNA from 1 species